GCCUCUGUAGCAUAGUGGUUACUGCGUCUGACUUGUAAUCAGAAGAUCGGGAGUUCAACUCUCCCCAGAGGCU
rnacentral:tRNA from 1 species